GGGGGCGACCCGGUUUCGACGUGGGUUACAAAACUUGAGGUGCAUGCCGAGCGACGUAACAACGCUCGUAAAUCAGAAGUUACAUAAAUAUAGUUGCAAAAAAUGACAACUACUACGGUGCAGAGUUAGCCCAAGCUGCGUAAGCAGUGAAAGCCUUCUCGUCUGUCGCUUAAUAACCGACAACACCCCAUUGCCUCGCCGUGCUUGUGCGGAGAGUCACAAUGGUCAUCACUCACAAGCUCGUUAUGGAAUAUGGCUCGUACUUCUGUAAUUAAAACUUGAGAGCUCGCUUUCGAUUUUUCCUGCACGUCGGAUAGUCGAUCGUUAAAUGAAAGACGGUGAUAAGCAUGUAGACCCAAUGGCAGCGGACUUGCGGACGCGGGUUCAAUUCCCGCCGCCUCCACCA
rnacentral:tmRNA from 1 species